rnacentral:rRNA from 1 species
CUGCUGCCUCCCGUAGGAGUCUGGUCCGUGUCUCAGUACCAGUGUGGGGGACCUUCCUCUCAGAACCCCUACGCAUCGUCGCCUCGGUGGGCCGUUACCCCGCCGACUAGCUAAUGCGCCGCAUGCCCAUCCCCCGCCGGAAUCGCUUCCUUUGGCCGCAGACCCCAUGCAGGUCCGCGGCGUUACGCGGUAUUAGUCGGGAUUUCUCCCGGUUAUCCCCCGUGCGGGGGCAGGUCGCAUACGUGUUACUCACCCGUGCGCCGGUCGCCGGCAGG